CCCCACGCCACGACACCACUGUACAGAUAUACUUUAAUUAUAACUUUAUUCGUGAUUUUCUGCAGCUUUUUCAAUGAUUUUAGGCUUAGAUAUUUUUCUGUUUAGCAUUUCGGAUGAAUGGAUAAUGUAAUGUCAACUGUGUGUGUGUGUGUGUUUCAGGUCAGAAUGCAAUUCUCCGGCUAAUAGUAACGGGGGUUGACACGCUGUUUGAGGUGAAGCUGAGUUUGGUGAGUGCAAACGGAGAGCUUCUGAGGAACGCUAGUGUAUCGAGAUUAAGUGGGAGUACGUAUCUUGCCAGAGUGUCUCGUCUGCCGGAUGUCCCGUUCAUUCUGCUGCUGACAGGGCAGGAGUCAGAUGGACAGCCCUUCCAGAGGCAAUCGACCACUCAGAUUCAGGCAUCACAGCUCACUUUGCAGGUGCAGAAUUCGGUUGUCAUGGUACCAGGUCAGAGCAUAAUUGUCCCAUUUACCGUGGAUGCCCGUGGAAUUGAGGGUGUCACGGUUAUACGUGUCCAGGAUGAUCAAGGAUUUGUAAGAGAAUUUGAUGCCAGCUUAACCUUAAAUGAUGUCACAGGCAAUGCGACUGGCCAGCUGAGUCUCAGUAUACCCACUGGAACCCCGCCAGGCACCUCCUCAGUCGUGACCUUAGAGGCCGAGUCUACCACAGCUCGUCAAUCAAACUUUGCUCUCCUCCGUGCAUCCGUCAUCCGAGAGGUCAUUGAUUUGACCCCGCCUGUAUGCCGUGUGGUUAAUGAGAGUCUGGACUGCCCUGCUCUGUGUGGGAAUGCUACGUGGCAGGUGACGUUGCUCAUGACAGACGGUAACGGCACUGGACUCCAGGACCCUCGCAUAUCAGUCACCAUUCCAGAUACACCCUUCAAUGAGACGUCCACCUCGAUCAUCACUGACAUCAAAGAUGAAAAUGGCUUCAAUGCCACUUUGCUGACUUUCAGUGCUUCCUGCUGCGUGACUGCUGUGGAGAUUUCUGCGGUGGACAAAGAGGCCAAUGUGGGCCGGUGCGACUUCAGCAUCAGACGGCCCAGCACGUCCACGGAGCCUCCUCAAAUCACCCACAACACAACCACAGCCAGACCGAACUCCAGUACCAUCAGCACAACACCCACCAACAAUCUCAGCACAACCCACUUAAAUAGUCCCAGCACAACCCGCUCCAAUAGUCCCAGCACAACCGUCUCCAUCAUCCUCAGGUCAACACCCUCACACAGCCCCAGAUUAACUGUGUCACUCUGGACCAGUUUACUGCUGCUAGCUUUAACAGCUCUACUGCUCUAGUACAGCUAUAUUCAGUGUUCUACACGUUAGCACUUUAUUAACUUGACUUAAUACAAAAAUAAAAUGGCUUUAUACAAACCA
rnacentral:lncRNA from 1 species